rnacentral:tRNA from 1 species
UACCCGGUGGUGUAAUUGGCAACACUCGAGGUUUUGAUCCUCGCAUUUCAGGUUCAAGUCCUGGCCGGGUAA